UAUUUUUUCCUCAGUUAGUCCAAAACAUUGCAGAAGUGCUAUAGGGAGCUGUAAUUCUUCGGAUCACUAUUCGCUGUAGAAAAUACAUAAUUUUCUCUUAAUAUAAGGGUCUUAAAACACUGGUCCUCUGUAAUACCAAGAAAA